CACAUGAACGCAGCUGAUCGUUACUAAACGAACUGGAUCUGGAGCCUAGACUACUAGUUCCUGCUUGCUACACGACUGUGGCAACCAAGAUAAAGAGAAAAUGAGCUCUGGGAAAGCACUGCAGUCGAUGUAUACUCACCUCAAUCAACAGCCACCGACACCAAGCCUGGCGAAAAGAAAGAAGAUUCAAGAGAAGUCUGAAAUAAGGAGUCCAACAGACAAUGUGAUGUCCCCAUGUACAAGACAGCUCAUGAGGAAAGCUAUCAAGGACAUACCAUCAUCUCCCAGACCCAGACGGGAAGAGAAAGAGAACUCUAAAUAAACGAAUGACCUUUUUAAGUACA